AAAAAAAGCAGCAAAUCCACCAAUAAGGGAACCAGUAUGGUUCCUAACACUAAUGCCACAACUGGCCUGUGAUGAUCUGGUUAAGAAAGAGGCAUCAACAUUUAUUUUUACAUAUCCCAAUUCAGGCGGUCUCCAAGAGACUGAAAGAGAUAAAGAUUGAACAAGCGGAGGAUGGUGAUGUGGAACCUCAAGAUGAAGAAGCUUUUCAGCAGCAUUUCUGGACUUUUUGGAAAGUUUUGAUAUGAUCUGGAUCGGUAGACUAAAUGACUACCCCAUUCUUAGCCUUCCAGAUACACCAGCACAACAAAACCACAAAAACAAUUUGUUGGGAAUUACUAGAAUUCAGAGAUUCCAAUAGUCCCUACUACCAAUCAGAAAAGGAAUUAAAACCAAUAACAUUUAUAGUAAGACCCAAAGAUGACCCAAACAAACUAACUUUCGCAUGAUCAGAGAACAAUAGUAAAAGUUCUAAAAUUUCCUCAUGUUUUCCACAAAUAGGGCACAUAAGAGAGCCUGCACUCUUUCUCCGAAACAAAUUAACUUUUAUAGCUAAAGAAUUAGAGCAAGCCG
rnacentral:misc_RNA from 1 species